rnacentral:tRNA from 5 species
GGGCUCGUAGUAUACCGGUAACACACUUCCAUGGCAUGGAAGAGUAGCGGGUUCAAUUCCCGCCGGGUCCACCU